rnacentral:rRNA from 1 species
GAUGAACGCUGGCGGCGUGCUUAACACAUGCAAGUCGAACGGAGUUACAUGAAACCUAGUGAUUGUAACUUAGUGGCGGACGGGUGAGUAACGCGUGGGUAACCUGGCGUAUACAGGGGGAUAACACUUAGAAAUAGGUGCUAAUACCGCAUAAGCGCACGAAUUCGCAUGAAUUUGUGUGAAAAACUUUGGUGGUAUACGAUGGACCCGCGUCUGAUUAGCUAGUUGGUGAGGUAACGGCCCACCAAGGCGACGAUCAGUAGCCGGCCUGAGAGGGUGAACGGCCACAUUGGGACUGAGACACGGCCCAAACUCCUACGGGAGGCAGCAGUGGGGAAUAUUGGACAAUGGGGGAAACCCUGAUCCAGCGACGCCGCGUGAGUGAAGAAGUAUUUCGGUAUGUAAAGCUCUAUCAGCAGGAAAGAACAUGACGGUACCUGACUAAGAAGCCCCGGCUAACUACGUG